UCCAAAGAAGUAGAGAUGAUACGAUGAACAUGAUCCAAUAUUACCUCACUUUCACCUCCCUGCACCAGCUUCACAUCUAUUUGUGACCAGGAAGGCUGGCAAAAUGUUAUCCUGCGGCACCCCAGUUCCCAGGCAAGAAAACCUUGAAGGCGGCAGAGAAAAGCGUAACAAGAACUAAGGGCUGAAAGCUGAAGCCAGACAAAUUCAAAUUAGAAAUUAGACAACACAUUUCUAACAGUGAGGAUGAUUAACCAUUGGAACAAACAACCAAGGGAACUGUGGAUUUUCCAUUUCCUGAUGUCUUCAAAUCAAGCCUGGAUCCCCAUGUUUAAGAUAGCCGAUACCCAGAGGAGUGCUAGGAGGAGGGCCAAGGGGAUUUUGGUCGGCCCCAGUGAGGUGAGUGCCUUGCUCUUUUCUUUCUCUCAACUCCAUGGCAAAAGCCAACUAGCAUCUAGCCAAGGUCUCUAUUACAGACACAAUUAUAAAACUACUUCUGCCCCAAUACAAUUCCUGUAGAAUUGAAAAAGAACUAGAAACCAAUACUACAGGAGUGGGUAAUAGAUAUCCAGUGAGAGAGCAGAGCAAUUUCCUCUGAUCAGACAGAAAGAGAAACUAGAUGAAUACUUUUGAAACUAAAUAUUGUGCACAGAUUUCACUGGACUCGCUCCAGGCUUUUCAAUAAGAGACUGCUGCCGAAUGACCAAUGUUCAGGCUACACCGUAGAAGGAGCAGCAGGACAAUAUGCACAUG